CAGCCGCCACGGGAAUACGAAGGGGGCUAGCGUUGCUCGGAAUGACUGGGCGUAAAGGGCGCGUAGGCGGCGAUCAAAGUCAGGCGUGAAAUUCCUGGGCUCAACCUGGGGGCUGCGCUUGGUACUUGGUUGCUUGAGUGGGGAAGAGGGUCGUGGAAUUCCCAGUGUAGGGGUGAAAUUCGUAGAUAUUCGGAAGAACACCAGUGGCGAAGGCGACUCGCUGGACAAGUAUUGACGCUGAGGUGCGAAAGCGUGGGGAGCAAACAGGAUUAGAUACCCGGGUAGUCCCUGUCUCUUAUAC
rnacentral:rRNA from 1 species